AGAGUUUGAUCCUGGCUCAGGAUAAACGCUGGCGGCGCACAUAAGACAUGCAAGUCGAACGGAAGUCGUUAUAAAAAGGAUUGAAGAUUUAUCUGAUUGAGAUUUUAUAACAAUGGCUUUAGUGGCGGACUGGUGAGUAACGCGUGAGCAACCUGCCUACUAGAGGGGAAUAACAGUGAGAAAUCAUUGCUAAUACCGCAUAUGCCAUGAACAUCACAUGAUGAAAAUGGGAAAAGAGUAAUCUGCUAGUAGAUGGGCUCGCGUCUGAUUAGAUAGUUGGUGGGGUAACGGCCUACCAAGUCGACGAUCAGUAGCCGGACUGAGAGGUUGAACGGCCACAUUGGGACUGAGAUACGGCCCAGACUCCUACGGGAGGCAGCAGUCGGGAAUAUUGCGCAAUGGAGGAAACUCUGACGCAGUGACGCCGCGUAUAGGAAGAAGGUUUUCGGAUUGUAAACUAUUGUCGUUAGGGAAGAUACAAGACAGUACCUAAGGAGGAAGCUCCGGCUAACUACGUGCCAGCAGCCGCGGUAAUACGUAGGGAGCAAGCGUUAUCCGGAUUUAUUGGGUGUAAAGGGUGCGUAGACGGGACAACAAGUUAGUUGUGAAAUCCCUCGGCUUAACUGAGGAACUGCAACUAAAACUAUUGUUCUUGAGUGUUGGAGAGGAAAGUGGAAUUCCUAGUGUAGCGGUGAAAUGCGUAGAUAUUAGGAGGAACACCGGUGGCGAAGGCGACUUUCUGGACAAUUACUGACGUUGAGGCACGAAAGUGUGGGGAGCAAACAGGAUUAGAUACCCUGGUAGUCCACACCGUAAACGAUGGAUACUAGGUGUAGGAUGUGAUAAACAUUCUGUGCCGUCGCAAACGCAAUAAGUAUCCCACCUGGGGAGUACGGCCGCAAGGUUGAAACUCAAAGGAAUUGACGGGGGCCCGCACAAGCAGUGGAGUAUGUG
rnacentral:rRNA from 1 species